CAGUAGCCACGGGAACACAGAGGGUGCGAGCGUUAAUCGGAUUUACUGGGCGUAAAGCGUGCGUAGGCGGCUUCUUAAGUCGGAUGUGAAAUCCCUGAGCUUAACUUAGGAAUUGCAUUCGAUACUGGGAAGCUAGAGUAUGGGAGAGGAUGGUAGAAUUCCAGGUGUAGCGGUGAAAUGCGUAGAGAUCUGGAGGAAUACCGAUGGCGAAGGCAGCCAUCUGGCCUAAUACUGACGCUGAGGUACGAAAGCAUGGGGAGCAAACAGGAUUAGAUACCCCAGUAGUCCCUGUCUCUUAUAC
rnacentral:rRNA from 1 species